UACGUAGGGUGCAAGCGUUGUCCGGAAUCAUUGGGCGUAAAGAGCGUGUAGGCGGCUUGCUAAGUCUUGCGUGAAAUCUCGGGGCUCAACCCCGAGCGGUCGUGGGAAACUGGCAGGCUAGAGUGCGGGAGAGGAGAAUGGAAUUCCUGGUGUAGCGGUGAAAUGCGCAGAUAUCAGGAAGAACACCCGUGGCGAAGGCGGUUCUCUGGAACGCAACUGACGCUGAGACGCGAAAGCGUGGGGAGCAAACAGG
rnacentral:rRNA from 1 species